rnacentral:rRNA from 1 species
CCUCAGUAACGGCGAGUGAAGCGGCAACAGCUCAAAUUUGAAAUCUGGCCCCGUGCCCGAGUUGUAAUUUGUAGAGGAUGCUUCGGGUGCGGCCCGGUCUAAGUUCCUUGGAACAGGACGUCACAGAGGGUGAGAGCCCCGUAUGCGACCGGGGACCUGAGCCCGUGUGAAGCUCCUUCGACGAGUCGAGUUGUUUGGGAAUGCAGCUCAAAAUGGGUGGUAAAUUUCAUCUAAAGCUAAAUACCGGCCAGAGACCGAUAGCGCACAAGUAGAGUGAUCGAAAGAUGAAAAGCACUUUGGAAAGAGAGUUAAACAGUACGUGAAAUUGUUGAAAGGGAAGCGCUUGCGACCAGACUUGCGCGCGGCCGAUCAUCCGGUGUUCUCGCCGGUGCACUCGGCCGCGCUCAGGCCAGCAUUGGUUCUGGCGGCCGGACAAAGGCCCCGGGAAUGUGGCUCCCCUCGGGGAGUGUUAGAGCCCGGGGCGCAAUGCGGCCCGCCGGGACCGAGGACCGCGCUUCGGCUAGGAUGCUGGCGUAAUGGUCGCAAGCGACCCGUCUUGAAACACGGACCAAGGAGUCUAACAUCUAUGCGAGUGUUUGGGUGGCAAACCCCUACGCGGAAUGAAAGUGAACGGAGGUGAGAGCCCUUCAGGGCGCAUCACCGACCGAUCCCGAUGUCCUCGGACGGAUUUGAGUACGAGCAUAGCUGUUGGGACCCGAAAGACAGUGAACUAUUCCUGAAUAGGGUGAAGCCAGAGGAAACUCUGGUGGAGGCUCGCAGCGGUUCUGACGUGCAAAUCGAUCGUCAAAUUUGGGUAUAGGGGCGAAAGACUAAUCGAACUGUCUAGUAGCUGGUUCCUGCCGAAGUUUCCCUCAGGAUAGCAGUGUUGAAUUCAGUUUUAUGAGGUAGAGCGAAUGAUUAGGGGUCUGGGGGGCCAAGGCUCUUCACCCAUUCUCAAACUUCGAAUAUGUAAGAAGUCCUUGUUGCUUAGUUGAACGUGGACAUUCGAAUGCACCAACACUAGUGGGCCAUUUUUGGUAAGCAGAACUGGCGAUGCGGGAUGAACCGAACGUGAAGUUAAGGUGCCGGAAUAUACGCUCAUCAGACACCACAAAAGGUGUUAGUUCAUCUAGACAGCAGGACGGUGGCCAUGGAAGUCGGAAUCCGCUAAGGAAUGUGCGUGGCACCAGUUACAUGUUCCUGUACGAAGUUUUUGGAAGACCCGGGACCCACGGUGGGGCCACGCAGACCUUCCAUGCCCAGGAACGACUGUUGCCCCACGGUGAUACCGGCGCUCCAAACAUUGACUGUUGCAAAAUCGGUGGAAGGCGCCCCCAAGCCAACCCCGAGCCCAGGCUCCAGCCGGCGGCCAGAGCCUGGGUGUACAGACUAGACACAAUAGGUCCUCCGGCGGAGGAUUCUGAUAUAGUCGAGUCCACCUCUGCAAAGAGAUGGCUAGAGCCAGCUGUGUAAGGUGCAGCGGCUCUCCCCUACGGUGUAACAACUCACCUGCCGAAUGAACUAGCCCUGAAAAUGGAUGGCGCUUAAGCGUGUUACCCAUACUUCACCGCCAGGGUAGAAACGAUGCCCUGGCGAGUAGGCAGGCGUGGGGG